CUUCAGCGCUAAGAUGGAGUUCCUGACUUUGCAAAACAAAACAAAAAGCCAACCUGUUAUUUCGCCUUUGCGAAGAAAUGCCGGGCUGCAGCAGAGCGAGCGGGCACCGAACCGCCCCUCUGCCUCCCGCAGAGCCACAGGCAGCGUGGAACCUGUCCCAAGGGAAGGCAGAAAGAGGCAAAAAAAGAGCAAUAAGCCUGGGACAUGUGGCAACUGCCAGUUCUUCCUUUCCAUGCGUUUUUUUAUUAGUUACUGCAUUGUUCUAUGAGCUUUUCCUCAAAAGCUUUGCAGAGCCGUGGAGGGACGCAUUCCUUAGCAUCUGACUUUGGCUACCUGGGGAACACAGCAAAGGCGUACCCUUCCAGCAAGAUCUGCCAAGCUUAAGAGAGAGGGAAGUUUUAUACGGAGUGCUUAAAAACACCAGCAGCAGUACGGAAAAACUGAAUGGGCAUGUGAGAUCAAGCCCCUGGGCCAUGGAACGGGUGCAUGGAGCGCUGGCCAGGUAAACAAUGCUCAGCUGAACCGACAGGCCUGAUGGUCCUGCGGCAAAACUAGUCAAAAGCCAUUAUCUGGAAAAUGGGGGAUCAUGGUGACACAGAAGAACCUGCCACUGAUGCUGAGCUGUUCAGGAGAGGGAAACAUAGAGCUGACGUGAAGAACUGCAGAAAAUGUGGGUGAUAUGGAGAAAUAGAUAACAAAACGGGAAUAAAAUUCAUCAUCGACAGAUGCUGGGUAGUGCAGAUGCAGAAGGACAUAACCCAAGGGUACAAGGAUGAGCUGUGGGGAGCAGGAAUGUGAUCUGGGAGGUGGCACGGGCAGCUGCCUGUUGGCAUGUCCCCUGGUUCCUCGCCUUGCUGAAGCCAAGAACCUACGUGUAGGGGGUGACGAGGGUGGGAUUUCUCUCCGUUUGCUGCCCACGCCAAGCGGUGCCCUGGCAGGCUCAGAAGGGGCACAGCAGCUGUCCCCUGGGCACAGGGCAGGAGAGCCACAAGUGCAGAGCAGGCAGGUGGGCUACACGGCCAACACUGCCGGUCUGUGCUCUGCCUGCCCAUGCGUGUCCCUGCAGGCUGCAUUUACAGUGUUCCAGCUCCAACCUUGAAAACACCCUUGGUCUCUGCUCCGUUAGCCCACCAGAGCUGGCGCAGAGGCUGUUUUCUGGGCAGAGUGGUGAGCAUCAGCUGUGGGUGGCUCCUCAUGUCACACCGACCGCGGUCCCCUCGGCAGCAGUCAUCCAAUGAUUCUGCCAGUGAGAAAAUCUCCUUUUGUGGGGGAAACUCUUGGGCUUUCAGUACCAUCUCAGGGAAAAAAAGACCAGGAUUGCUCAUGAUACGUCUGUGAGUCCCCUGGCAGGGACCCCACGGGGUGCUGCAGAGCCAAGGUUGGGUUGGAGAGUGGCAGUGCACCUCUCCAGGGAUUAAAAGAGCCUUCAGGUUAUGGACAAGGAUGGUGCGAUUGAGGGGAAUCAGCAACAUUUGCACCCUCUCCUGGGAAAAAAUGAAAUGUUGCAAUUAUGUAGGAUCUCUGCUCAGUGGUUUGGGAAACUCCUAGCACUAUAGAAAAGACAGAGGUGUCCAGCAGUAAUUUUUGCCUGGUAAUUGGAAAAAACGUCCUGGCACUGUAAACCACUGCACACAGCAGAAGGGAAACAGCAGUGCCUACAGUCCGGUAGGGCUGGGGCAUAUUCCAAUUAAAUAACAGAAAUAAACCAUAAUGCCUAUGCAGAAGGCAAGGAGCAUGCUAGUCCUGUGCCGGUGUUCAAAGGAGAAGGCUGCCAACUCCAAGGUAGCAGCUUGACUCCUAGAUUGGGCAAAAGGUUGGAAAACUGAUGUAAGAUUCACCACAUAGUGAAUUUUCCAGGUCAAAAAGUUGCGACCUGGAGCAAGACAGCAGUAAUCUGUUUUUUAAUGAUGCAGUAACUAAUCUAGAACUAAAUACCAUACAGUGGGAGAGAAACCGGAGGCCAGCACACUGUGCCUGUGCUGACACACCAGUGUUUUGCAUUUUCAAAGCAGCAGACGUUGCAAAAAUAGGAAAUACAAGAAGUCAGCACUAUUAAACCAAAUGUAAUGAAAUAUCCUAUCAUGAGUCAUUUACUUGUAAACCUCAAAAAAUUUUCAGCAGAUGCCACUAGAUUUCUUUUGCCAGUCAUUGCUCCAGUGAAGUUUUUCCAGCAAAGAACAAGGAGGAUAUAAACACACAGGGUGUUUCAUCUUCUCCUUCCCUCAAGAGCUGUGUGUAGUAGGAUGCAUUAUCAAAAAAUAAUAAUAGAGGAAGCAUUUAAAUAAUGCUGGGCUGAGCAGGGAGUGCCAAGGCAGUCAUAUACUUGUCAUAAAAAUGGAGUACCAGGUUCAUAAUGAAUGAAUGUGUCAGCUGAAUUUAGGCAGGAGCAUCAGGCAGGCUGAGUGGGUGCCGGUAGCAUCACAUACAGAUGCUGAAAAAUGAUUCUGUGGUCUCCAGUACAAACCUACCAGCAUGUGAAGUUCUGCAGCUCCGUCUGCCCGUGGGCUUCUGCAGCCUGUGCUCAGCCAAGCCUCCCUGCAAAGGGACCAUAUUGUCCUGGGUUUAGAGGGGAUAAAGAAGGAGAGGCUGAGAAACCACUGUCUGACGUGGAGCCAGGGGGGAAUUUCUAGAUUCUCUGACUGUCUUUGCAGCUGUCAGUCCCAAAUGUCCCAGACUAGGUGGGACAUGAUGCUGAUCUGGGAACCAGGUGUCCUGGGGUGAUGUGGCUUCUUUUCCCUGUUUCAUUUUCAUAUCCCUCACAGGGGAGCGAUGCCCACCCUGCUGUGGUGGGCUAGUUCAGCAGGUACCCAGAGCAUUGCACGCACACUGGAAAGGACGUGGCACAGGGUGCUGGGGACAUGCCUGUAAAAGCACCAGGUAGGGUGCACACAGGCACCCAGAGUGGCAUGGAAGGGUGGCAGGGCAUGCUAUGGGGAGACCUUCUGCAGGCAGAAGUCCUCGCGGAGAAGCAGCAACACUAGAAAGUGAAGUCCCCCUACCCCCAAAGUCACAUCUGGGACAGGACAUGGAGUUGAAGUGCCACCGCACUUAGCAGAGCAGGAAUGCUGUGGGCAGACAUGAAUUAUAUGUAACGGUCUCGGCCACGUUUAUCUUUCUUGAAAUAACUUCGCUUUUUGUGGAUCAGUUGUCUGAAAACCAUAAUUGACACUCUCCAAGCCCUUUAUAGUUGCUUGUAGAAUAGUGACCUUCUGGUAAUGCAAGAGCAGGCAUGGACCUGACCAAAGCUAAAUCGGUGCUGAGGCCAGCAGCAGGGACAGGGCUGAGGGAGAGGACAUUUGUGGCUGUCCCACACCUGCCCGGGGACGGCAUUUGUCCCACGGGGCCCACUCUGCUUGCACCCUCAGCAGCUGUGAGCCGCAGGGAGGGCACCGGGAUGUUAGCGACGACCUGGGGGUCCCGGCAUCGCUGCAGGGGCUGCCGGCCUGCCCACGUGGGCAUGCAUCGGGGUCUAAGGGUUCCUCCUACAGACCUUCCAGGUUCACUCUGCUGUCAAAUUUCAACGCAGUUAAAAUGUGGGUUGGUGCCUCCAGAUUCCAGGUGUGGGGAGCGUAUGGGUGAGCUCGUUCAUUUUGCUUGCAGAAGCCAGAGACCUGGGAGCUCCAUGGUGCCGUUACAGGAGGUCCCCUGGCAGAGCAGCGUGCCCCACUGCUGUCUGGUCUUAGUUAAGAGCCAAGUUUGUAUUUUUUUCUAAUUUCCCCCUCAGAGAACAGAUGUCACAGUCUUUUGCAUUCAGAAGAUCUAACUGUGUUAUUUUUAACCAGCCUUGUGGAAAAAAACAUACGGUGCAUUGUGGAAGAAGUUAAGAGUCACGUAAAGCUCAACGGAGAGUAAAGAGGCUCAGCUUGGCGGGGGAGGGGGCAGAUGCCUGCCCCAGGAGAAGGGAGGCUUCCUCCGGGCCACCUGCCUGGGGGGGUACAAACAGAGCUGCAACGUUAGGUGCAAUGCAUUCAUGCUGAAAUGAUAAAUUAUGCUGAAAAAGAUAAAUGGGUGGAUUCUGAGGUUUGUAGCAUAGUAGCAAUUCAUUGCCGAGGUUGCAUACGCAGCGCUUCAGCAGCAGCGGGGCAGGGGCAGCCGUAACGUCAGGGGGGGAUGCUGCCCUUGUGCCUGAGCUGCUCUGAACCGGGGUGCAGGGGGCUGCGCCAGGCUCGGUUUCGUUGGAGUUGUGUUCAGCUCCAGCUGGUGAAUGGGUGUCCUGGGCUAAGGGUGAUGCCAACGGCUGCUUUGCUUCCCGCUGCCCGGCCUUUGCAAGUGUGCCCAUGGCAGGGGGCUGCAGCGCAGCACGGCCUGGGCGGCGGCACCGGGUGCCCAGUUCCCACCAUCCCUCCCCUGAAUGGUGCAGCUCAGCAGCCCUGGCUUCACGCACGAGGGGCUGGCUGAGCUGGGAAACAUCCCAAGAUAGGCACAGAUGGCAAAGCACAAAGAUAACUGGCUUGUCAGGGCACGCCUCUGCAUUUCCAUGUACUCAGAGCCGAAAAAAAUGAAAUCUCCCCUGUAAUCCCAAAAUUCUUUUGAUGAUGAGAAAAUGCAAUUGAAAAGUUUUGUUGCACAACCUUCAAGAUCAAAUGAUGAUUUGUUUAGAAUGCACUUUGUGGUAUUACAUGGCAUACAGGCUCACCAAUUAGCUGGAAGCAAAUAUUCCUCCUCAUUUUCCGUGAGUGUGUCAUUAGGAUAGUGUCUCACCAGUUGAACAUUAUCAUUAUCAGCUGCAAAUACUGUUGAAGUUCAAAGCAUUUGCUUGUAGUUUACAUUUUAUAUUUUCAAAUAUUGUUAAUUCAGUUUCAUUGCUGCCUUGGAAAUAAUCAGAUGAUGAUCUCUUCUGCUUUCAAACUGCCAUAACAAACAACUGUUGGAAAUAUUCUGAUAUUUCUACAGCUGGAAGUAUCAAUGGCAAUCACAGAAAAUGCCCCUUUCAAGUAAAUCUUUCAUAGUUUAUUUUCCGGAGGAAGGAAGAACUAAGGUAUUGUAUUCAAUGCACGUAACUUCUGUCUGCUGCUCGUCGCUGGUGUCUCCUCCAACCUUCACAGCAGCUCCGAGCCACCAGCACCCAUGCCCAACACUGCUACACAACCUGGCUUGCCAUUGCCCUCCAGCCCUUUGACAAACCUCUGCAACCAAAGGGGGGGCAUUUGGUGGGACAUAUAUAUGCUUUUUCCAUAGUUAUGAAUGAAUACAAAUCUUA